CCUACGGGAGGCAGCAGUGAGGAAUAUUGCUCAAUGGACGCAAGUCUGAUCCAGCCAUGCCGCGUGCAGGAAGACGGCUCUAUGCGUUGUAAACUGCGUUUGUACGAGGGUAAACGCAGGUACGCGUAUCUGUCUGACAGUAUCAUACCAAUCAAGAUCGGCUAACUCCGUGCCAGCAGCCGCGGUAAUACGGAUGUUUCAAGCGUUAUCCGGAUUUAUUGGGGUUAACGGGUGCGUAGGCGGUCGGAUAAGUUAGAGGUGAAAUCCCGAGGCUCAACUUCGGAAUUGCGUUUGAUACUGUUCGGCUAGAGAGUAGGUGCGGUAGGCGGAAUGCAUGGUGUAGCGGUGAAAUGCGUAGAGAUCAGAAAGAACACCGAUGGCGAAGGCAGCUUACCAAGCUACUUCUGACGUUGAGGCACGAAAGCGUGGGGAGCAAACAGGAUUAGAUACCCGAGUAGUC
rnacentral:rRNA from 1 species